UACAGAGGUCUCAAGCGUUGUUCGGAUUCAUUGGGCGUAAAGGGUGCGUAGGCGGCGUGGUAAGUCGGAUGUGAAAUCUCGGAGCUUAACUCCGAAACUGCAUUCGGAUACUGCCGUGCUUGAGGACUGGAGAGGAGACUGGAAUUUACGGUGUAGCGGUGAAAUGCGUAGAUAUCGUAAGGAAGACCAGUGGCGAAGGCGGGUCUCUG
rnacentral:rRNA from 1 species